rnacentral:rRNA from 1 species
UAGGGAAUAUUGCGCAAUGGGCGCAAGCCUGACGACGCAACGCCGCGUGGAGGAUGAAGAUCUUCGGGUCGUAAACUCCUGUCGACCGGGACGAAAUUCACGUGGGCUAACAUCCUGCGUGAUUGACGGUACCGGUGGAGGAAGCCCCGGCUAACUCCGUG